rnacentral:rRNA from 1 species
CGGUAAUUCCAGCUCCAAUAGCGUAUACUAAAGUUGUUGCAGUUAAAAAGCUCGUAGUUGGAUUUCUGCGGGGACGGAGCGGCCGGACGCAACUUGCGUCUCGAGCUAGCGCUUUCCCCGCAUCCUGCCGCGAACCGUGCUACCAUUAGUUUGGUGGCGCUGGGGAUCGGCUCGAUUACUUUGAGAAAAAUAGAGUGUUCAAAGCAGGCCACACGCCUUGAAUAAGUUAGCAUGGAAUAAUGACUAAGGACUUCGGUUCUAUUUUGUUGGUGUUCGGGACUGAAGUGAUGAUUGAUAGGGACAGUUGGGGCGGUCUGUAUUCCAAAGCGAGAGGUGAAAUUCUUAGACCUUCGGAAGACAAACAGCUGCGAAAGCGUUCCGCAAGGAUGUUCCCUUUGAUCAAGAACGAAAGUUGGGGGAUCGAAGACGAUCAGAUACCGUCGUAGUCUCAACUAUAAACUAUACCAGCUAGGGAUCGGCCAACGUUUAAUUAUUCGACUUGGUCGGCACCUUAUGAGAAAUCAAAGCAUCUGGGUUCCGGGGGGAGUAUGGUCGCAAGGCUGAAACUUAAAGGAAUUGACGGAAGGGCACCACCAGCCGUGGAGCCUGUGGCUUAAUUUGACUCAACACGGGAAAACUUACCAGGUCCAGACAUAGGAAGGAUUGACAGAUUGAUAGCUCUUUCUUGAUUCUGUGGGUGGUGGUGCAUGGCCGUUUUUAGUUGGUGGAGUGAUUUGUCUGCUUAAUUGCGUUAACGAGCGAGACCCCAGCCUGCUAAAUAGCGCGGCCGAGCUUUGCUCGGUGCGAGCUUCUUAGAGGGACUAUGAUGCGCGAUAGCACAAGGAAGUUUGGGGCAACAACAGGUCUGUGAUGCCCUUAGAUGUUCUGGGCCGCACACGGGCUACACUGGCGCCUGCAACGAGCAUAUCAGCUGGCCCGAGAGGGUCUUGGCUAAUCUUUUGAACCGGCGCCGUGCUUGGGAUUGACCUUUGCAAUUGUUGGUCAUGCAACGAGGAAUGCCUUGUAAACGCGAGUCAUCAGCUCGCAUUGAAUACGUCCCUGCCCUUUGUACACACCGCCCGUCGCUCCUACCGAUGAAUGUUCCGAUGAAAUUUUCGGAGAGCGCCAGAGAACGGGGCUCUGCCUUGCAGAUCUGGAGGCUCAAAGUCACUUAAAUCUGAACAUUUCGAGGAAGGAGAAGUCGUAACAAGGUAACC